CCGUGCUGACCCCUGCGGUGUCCGCGCGCGGGGGACUCGGCUGCGCAGUUGUGCUAGUGGGGCCUGCGCGCGCUCGCCCCGGCCGGCGGGUCUAAGGGAAGGUUGCGGCUCUUUACUUUCUCCUGGUACUUUUCCGUGGCGACAGCUUUCCAGUGGCGAAGACGUUUCUGCCCCUGAGGCCUGUUUAGGAGCUGGGCCUCUACUCUGCAAGGUCUCUCUCUCUAUUCAGGAUCGACAUAGAGGUUUUCCAAAUUUGAAGUUAACAUAGGAGCCACACCAAAAAGGACUUACAGGACUUGUUCACUCUCUUGCCUGAAACAACAAAACAAAACAGGACAGAAGCACACAAGAUGCACGAAAUGCAGAUUUAUUUCCAAAAUACCGGGUCAGGCAAAGAGGAUAGUACUCCUGGAGAUAUGGAGACACAGGUGACCUGAGCCCUACAGCUGCUCCAAGGCACUGCCUCCAGAUCUUAUCCAAGCCAGCAGGGGUGGCAUUGGAAGAGGAGCCCUGUGGACACCUUGGAGUUUAGGACUCUGAGCUGAGAGACCCCAGGACAGCAUCCGGGGAGGAUAGAACUGCGGAAAGGAACCAUGGAAGAGCUGUGGAGGGGCCUGCGGCGUGCAACAGGGUCCUCCCUGAGACACGACGACAGCACCUCUGAGGACAAUCAUAGGACCAGGGCCUGGCACUCUCGCAGGCUACGGCCCCCUUUCAGGAUCAAUCCUCUGAAAACAACCCAAAGCUGACACAGAUGUGAGAACCACCAGCGCAGGACUAGAAAGUGUUUGUUUGUUACAAGUGCAUUCAUUCCUUUGGUUCAAAAUAUUCAGCAGAUAUAUGGAAAAUGUGAAAAUGAUCCAAUCUCACGUUAAGAGAUGAGAACCACAGAGUCUGAAAGGAAUUGUAUAGCAAGGGCUGAAUGCGAUUCGAGGAGGCAGAAGGAAAAUGCUUGAUAGCAAUCCUGUGGGAAUCUGCGGGUCGCGGUAUUGCCAUCUUAACCACGUACACCUUGCUUCCCACCCAGGAGCGCAGCAUGUCUUUCCACUCUUUAGGUCUUCUUGAAUCUCUUGCAGCAACGUUGUGUCGUUUUCAGUGUACAGAUUUUGUUCUCCUUGAAUCAAUUAUUCCUAGAUACUUUAUUCUGGUGGACGCUAUUGUAAAUGGAACAGUUUUCGUAAUUUCCUUUUCUGAUUGUUCAUUGCUUGUGUGCUAGCAAUGUGGUGUGUCCUGUAUCCUGACUCUCUGUAGAAUUAGGUUAUGGAGUUGGGCCGCGUCAGUAUUUGGUAUUUUUUCUCACUAUAGGAGCAUGUCAUCUGCAAAUACAGAUACCAGCGGACCCUUGAAAAUCCUGGGGGUUAGGGGUACAGAUUCCCACAAUUAAAAUCUGUGUAUUACUUUUGACUCCACAAAGACUUAUCUGCUCAUAGCCUACUGACGCCUUACAUGUAAAAAAAAAA